rnacentral:sRNA from 2 species
AAUCAAUUGGUCGCAGGUUCGAAUCCUGCACGACCCACCAAUUUAACAUCAAACUCAGAUGUUAAGCGUGAAGGAUAACGUUGCGUCAGCAACGGCCCGUAGGGCGAGCGAAGCGACUCAUCCUGCACGACCCACCA